rnacentral:rRNA from 1 species
GACGAACGCUGGCGGCGUGCCUAAUACAUGCAAGUAGAACGCUGAAGGAGGAGCUUGCUUCUCUGGAUGAGUUGCGAACGGGUGAGUAACGCGUAGGUAACCUGCCUGGUAGCGGGGGAUAACUAUUGGAAACGAUAGCUAAUACCGCAUAAGAGUAGAUGUUGCAUGACAUUUGCUUAAAAGGUGCAAUUGCAUCACUACCAGAUGGACCUGCGUUGUAUUAGCUAGUUGGUGAGGUAACGGCUCACCAAGGCAACGAUACAUAGCCGACCUGAGAGGGUGGUCGGCCACACUGGGACUGGGACACGGCCCAAGACUCUACGGGAGGCAGCAGUAGGGAAUUUUCGGCAAUGGACGGAAGGCUGGACGAGGAACGGCGGGGGAGGGAAGAAGGGUUUCGGAUCGUAAAGCUCUGUUGUAAGGGAAGAAAGAGUGGGAGAGUGGAAAGUUCACACUGUGACGGUAUCUAACCAGAAAGGGACGGCUAACUACGUG